rnacentral:rRNA from 1 species
GACGAACGCUGGCGGCGUGCUUAACACAUGCAAGUCACGGGGGCUGGCUGGCGAACUGGCCAGUAACCGGCGAACGGGUGCGUAACACGUGAGCGACCUGCCUUAUUGAGGGGGAUAGCCGGCCCAACGGCCGGGUAAUACCGCAUACGCUUGAGUGGGGCAUCCCUGUUCAAGGAAACCUCCGGGGCGAUAAGAGGGGCUCGCGGCCCUAUCAGCUAGUUGGUGAGGUAACGGCUCACCAAGGCGAUGACGGGUAGCUGGUCUGAGAGGAUGGCCAGCCACAUUGGGACUGAGAGACGGCCCCAGACUCCUACGGGAGGCAGCAGUGGGGAAUCUUGCGCAAU